rnacentral:rRNA from 1 species
UACGAAGGGGGCUAGCGUUGCUCGGAAUCACUGGGCGUAAAGGGUGCGUAGGCGGGUCUUUAAGUCAGGGGUGAAAUCCUGGAGCUCAACUCCAGAACUGCCUUUGAUACUGAAGAUCUUGAGUUCGGGAGAGGUGAGUGGAACUGCGAGUGUAGAGGUGAAAUUCGUAGAUAUUCGCAAGAACACCAGUGGCGAAGGCGGCUCACUGGCCCGAUACUGACGCUGAGGU